rnacentral:lncRNA from 1 species
CCCGGCUCCCCGUCCCACCCCGCCCUUCCCCCGCCCGGCGCGUCCUCCCGGCUCGGGGAGGCGCAGCUCCGGAGGGGCCGCGGGACGCCGCCGGCAGCCAAUGGGAAGCGGCGAGACGCGCAGCUUGGCGCGGAGGAUUGGAAGGUCGGUGGGAAGGAGAGCGGUGCGGCCGGGCUGUCAAUCAAAGUAACGUGGGGCGCCGAGACGCGGGCGCGCGCGGGGGGAGUGUGGCGGCGUGCGGCGCGGGGCUGCUGGCUGGAGUGCACCGGAUCCACUUGUUCACUUUUCCCUGCGAGGAAAACCAUUCGAUCGCAGCGAAAGUAACUCCGACGCCCGCGUGGGUUGGGCCGGGGGCACUUCUCAGUGAUUUCCACCUCAGCGCGGCUCUCACUUUACAGGGUACAAGAGACCAAGCUUGGAAACCAGAAGCUGGAGAUCAGGAAAGGAGGGAAGGAGAAACGGAUGCGUCUGGGAGGAAAUACAUUGUUUACAUUCACAGCCUACCCAUUUGCUUACCUUCUUAAAGCCCCAAAACUUGUAGGAGAUUAGCCAUUUACUUGGUAUUCAAAUAAACUGUGUAAGAAUUUGAGGCACUAAGUGGAUAAACUUGCUAGCUGGUCAAUCAUGUUUUUAAAAACUGUGUCUGGCAUACAGAACCACCUCACCCAGGGCUAAACUUGUGUUUAUUUAACUCUGUAUUUCCAGGGAUGUAUCAGCCCCAAGUAGCAUGUGUUUAUAAGUAGUCACAGAACCAUAGAU